rnacentral:rRNA from 1 species
UACGGAGGGGGGCUAGCGUUGUUCGGAAUUACUGGGCGUAAAGCGCACGUAGGCGGCUUUGUAAGUUAGAGGUGAAAGCCCAGGGCUUAACCCUGGAAUUGCCUUUAAGACUGCAUCGCUAGAAUCGUGGAGAGGUGAGUGGAAUUCCGAGUGUAGAGGUGAAAUUCGUAGAUAUUCGGAAGAACACCAGUGGCGAAGGGCGACUC